GGGGACCGCCGCAAAAGCCAGCGGCCAAGUGCGGUUCGGCUGGGGUACAGAAACGGCACAAGCGACGCAUUUUGAAGAUUAAUAA
rnacentral:ribozyme from 14 species